rnacentral:rRNA from 1 species
GUUGGCGGCGUGCCUAAUACAUGCAAGUAGAACGCUGAAGAGAGGAGCUUGCUCUUCUUGGAUGAGUUGCGAACGGGUGAGUAACGCGUAGGUAACCUGCCUUGUAGCGGGGGAUAACUAUUGGAAACGAUAGCUAAUACCGCAUAACAAUGGAUGACACAUGUCAUUUAUUUGAAAGGGGCAAUUGCUCCACUACAAGAUGGACCUGCGUUGUAUUAGCUAGUAGGUGAGGUAAUGGCUCACCUAGGCGACGAUACAUAGCCGACCUGAGAGGGUGAUCGGCCACACUGGGACUGAGACACGGCCCAGACUCCUACGGGAGGCAGCAGUAGGGAAUCUUCGGCAAUGGGGGCAACCCUGACCGAGCAACGCCGCGUGAGUGAAGAAGGUUUUCGGAUCGUAAAGCUCUGUUGUAAGUCAAGAACGGGUGUGAGAGUGGAAAGUUCACACUGUGACGGUAGCUUACCAGAAAGGGACGGCUAACUACGUGCCAGCAGCCGCGGUAAUACGUAGGUCCCGAGCGUUGUCCGGAUUUAUUGGGCGUAAAGCGAGCGCAGGCGGUUUGAUAAGUCUGAAGUUAAAGGCUGUGGCUCAACCAUAGUUCGCUUUGGAAACUGUCAAACUUGAGUGCAGAAGGGGAGAGUGGAAUUCCAUGUGUAGCGGUGAAAUGCGUAGAUAUAUGGAGGAACACCGGUGGCGAAAGCGGCUCUCUGGUCUGUAACUGACGCUGAGGCUCGAAAGCGUGGGGAGCGAACAGGAUUAGAUACCCUGGUAGUCCACGCCGUAAACGAUGAGUGCUAGGUGUUGGAUCCUUUCCGGGAUUCAGUGCCGCAGCUAACGCAUUAAGCACUCCGCCUGGGGAGUACGACCGCAAGGUUGAAACUCAAAGGAAUUGACGGGGGCCCGCACAAGCGGUGGAGCAUGUGGUUUAAUUCGAAGCAACGCGAAGAACCUUACCAGGUCUUGACAUCCCGAUGCUAUUUCUAGAGAUAGAAAGUUACUUCGGUACAUCGGUGACAGGUGGUGCAUGGUUGUCGUCAGCUCGUGUCGUGAGAUGUUGGGUUAAGUCCCGCAACGAGCGCAACCCCUAUUGUUAGUUGCCAUCAUUCAGUUGGGCACUCUAGCGAGACUGCCGGUAAUAAACCGGAGGAAGGUGGGGAUGACGUCAAAUCAUCAUGCCCCUUAUGACCUGGGCUACACACGUGCUACAAUGGUUGGUACAACGAGUUGCGAGUCGGUGACGGCGAGCUAAUCUCUUAAAGCCAAUCUCAGUUCGGAUUGUAGGCUGCAACUCGCCUACAUGAAGUCGGAAUCGCUAGUAAUCGCGGAUCAGCACGCCGCGGUGAAUACGUUCCCGGGCCUUGUACACACCGCCCGUCACACCACGAGAGUUUGUAACACCCGAAGUCGGUGAGGUAACCUUUUGGAGCCAGCCGCCUAAGGUGGGACAGAUGAUUGGGGUGAA